AAAACAUAUAAAUUAGGUUAAAAUGCUAAAUGAAAGUAGCUCUUUGAAGUACUCUAUGCCCUUCAGGGCUCUUUGCAGGCAAUUGCAAUCUACUGGUGAUCUAAAAAGCUAAGACUUUAGAUAAGCUGUAGCAAUUAUUCCAAGAUGCUUUAGACUACAGGAACUCUACACCACAAGUCUGGAAGAAGCCUCAGGGCCAUCUGUUGCCCCUCAGACUCUCUGAUUCACUUCAGUAUAUUUGUGGGGAUUUCAUAUGCUUUUUUGUGUCUGAUAUACGAUGUAAAGUUUGCAUAUUAGACUUAAGUUGUAAUCCAUUUGCUGUUGAGAAUGAAUUGUAUUGGAAAAUGAAAGGUUAUUGCAUGACAAUCAUGUGCUUGGCUAUUGCACUGGACAGGUUGUUGGACCAUCAGAAAAUAGCACUGAAUGUACUGUUGACAUGAUGUAGAAACUCUAAGCUGUUGGUUUUUGCCAUGUGACAUUAAAAAAAAUGGUAAAAAUGAACCACUGGGCAGUUUGGCUUAUAUUUGAUUCAAAGUAUGUAGAAUUUGAGUUUGUUAUUCUGCUUUUUUUGCAAAAGUGUAUUUGCUCAAAUGGCAUACCAUUAAGUGUCACACAUUGGCAUAAUUUGGCUUUUGUUAUGCAGAUUGUUAACACCAGCUAUUAAAAUAUAUUUUAGUAGAAAUGCUUUAAUUCAUGUUCUUUUUCCCUUUACACUGUGAAUCUUGAAGCUUUGGUGGACUACAACAUGAUUCUACCCUAAAUACUAACCUAUGCAAACUAGAUCACAUUUCAUUUGAUGUCACAGUAAAUGUAAUAUGAUAUUUUUCCCUGCAUAACAAGCAAUGCCAUUGAAAAAAUGGUUGAGUCUCACAUCAUAUAUGUUCAUCCUGGUCAUCGAAGUCACUCUUCAAUGCAACUGUCAUCAUUAGGAUGAGUUUAGUUCAUUUGGUUUGGUUGAUGGAUUGUUAAAAUGAGAUUGCCCAGUGAUGUACACCUGCUAUAGCUCCAGCUUGCUCACUUUGAGUGUUUUCCUCAAAUAGAAAUGUGUGUAAAAAUGCCCUCCCUUCAGGGUAUGGAUGUUCUUUUCUCCAUUCUGUAUUUGUGAAACUUUAUAAAAAUCAUUAAUUUUCCAUCCCUACACACUUGGUUUGCUUAAAUAAAUGCGGGUAUUGAUGAAAUGGGGUCUACUGC
rnacentral:lncRNA from 1 species